CUGCUAUUGCUGUUCUUUUGAAGAACAGUACCAACAUUAGUUUUGAUGGCCCCCUCAGUCGAAUUGCCAUAUGUCGUUUGCCCACUGAUGCGGAAACCUUUCCUUCGAACUCAACAUUCACUUGGAUGUCUGUAAAUUUCAGCUCCAGCCACAUUGAUGACAUCAGCAACAAUUUGAAAUGUGCACAGGAUCAGAUAUUUGCUGUUAUUUUAAAUGAGAGCUGUGAAGUCUCCCCUUCUGAGUCCUACACAACUCAAGUUGUCCCUUCUAGAU